AUUUUAAUAAAAAUUAUUUUAUUUAUAUUGCAAUUUACAGGGUCUGGCAGAAGUCACGCCUGCUUGAGUGUGGCUGGUAGGGGAAUGAUAUUGGUGUAAUAAUUUAUAGUUUUAAUUUGAACAUUUCACCUAAAAUGUCAUAUGGUGUGCUUGAGUGUGAUAUUGUUAUGUAACAGAAUUACACGCUUAUAAUUUGGUAAUAAAAGGGGCAUUAUUUGUGCAAGACCCUGUAUA